rnacentral:rRNA from 1 species
AUACGGAGGGGGCAAGCGUUGUUCGGAAUUACUGGGCGUAAAGCGCGCGUAGGCGGGCUGGUUAGUUGGGGGUGAAAUCCCAGGGCUUAACCCUGGAACUGCCUCCAAUACUGCCAGUCUAGAGUUCGAGAGAGGUGAGUGGAAUUCCUAGUGUAGAGGUGAAAUUCGUAGAUAUUAGGAAGAACACCAGUGGCGAAGGCGGCUCACUGGCUCGAUACUGACGCUGAGGUGCGAAAGCGUGGGGAGCAAACAGGAGUAGAAACCCCUGUAGUCC